UCGCCCAUUAAAGCGGUACGCGAGCUGGGUUCAGAACGUCGUGAGACAGUUCGGUCCCUAUCUGUCGCGGGCGCAGGAGAUUUGAGAGGAUCUGUCCCUAGUACGAGAGGACCGGGAUGGACGCACCACUGGAGUACCAGUUGUACCGCCAGGUGCACGGCUGGAUAACCAAGUGCGGAACGGAUAAGCGCUGAAAGCAUCUAAGUGCGAAGCCGACCUCAAGAAGAGAUCUCCCACAGUAUUAAACUGGUAAGACCCCUCAUAGAUGAUGAGGUAGAUAGGCCAGGUGUGUAAGAGCAGCAAUGCUUUUAGCUGACUGGUACUAAUAGGUCGAGGACUUGACCUAU
rnacentral:rRNA from 1 species